ACGACGCCGCGUGCGGGAUGCAGGCCUUCGGGUUGUAAACCGCUGUCAGUGGGGAGCAAAUCCCUAGGAGCUAUCUCCUAGGGUUGAGCGAUCCGCAGAGGAAGCGCAGGCUAAGUUCGUGCCAGCAGCCGCGGUAACACGAACUGCGCAAACGUUAUUCGGAAUCACUGGGCUUAAAGAGUCCGUAGGCGGCUUGGUAGGUGAGGUGUGAAAUCCCACGGCUCAACCGUGGAACUGCGCUUCAAACCACCAGGCUAGAGGGAGAUAGAGGAGAGCGGAACUGAUGGUGGAGCGGUGAAAUGCGUUGAUAUCAUCAGGAACACCGGUGGCGAAAGCGGCUCUCUGGGUCUCUUCUGACGCUGAGGGACGAAAGCUAGGGGAGCGAAAGGGAUUAGAUACCCCUGUAGUCA
rnacentral:rRNA from 1 species